AAGUCGUAACAAGGUUUCCGUAGGUGAACCUGCGGAAGGAUCAUUAACACGUAUCCAAACGUUAACCCCCCUGUGAACCUUUAGUGUGCUCGUACGCUUUGUCAGAGCGUGGCAAUCCCUAGUAAAUCAUCGCCGAACAGUUUUCGAUUUAGGGACUUCCACAAAGAGUGUGCUCGUAGCGCGAGGCAAGUGGCCUGGCAUUCCCAAGCAGUUGGUAGUCUGAAAGUGUCACUGGCUGUGUAAGGAUGGCGCAGUCACGAUCGUUGGAGGCCGACACGGCCGACGACCGGGUCACCGGGCUCACGCCCCUUAAUCACAACUUAAUGCAUGUCAGACGCGCCUGCGCUUAAUUGUGCGGCGACCAUAAAACUCGAACAACUGUUAACAAUGGAUAUCUUGGUUCUC
rnacentral:misc_RNA from 1 species